rnacentral:rRNA from 1 species
UACGUAGGGAGCAAGCGUUGUCCGGAAUCAUUGGGCGUAAAGCGCGCGUAGGUGGCCUCAUAAGUCCGCUGUGAAAGUCAAAGGCUCAACCUUUGAAAGCCGGUGGAUACUGUGAGGCUAGAGUGUGGUAGGGGAGACUGGAAUUCCUGGUGUAGCGGUGGAAUGCGCAGAUAUCAGGAGGAACACCGAUGGCGAAGGCAGGUCUCUGGGCCACUACUGACGCUGAGAAGCGAAAGCAUGGGGAGCGAACAGG